UAAUAUGAUGAGACUCUGGAAUAGGAAGUGCCGUCAGAUGCGAUAACUGACGAUGAUUUUCCACUCUGACU